UCCGUAGGUGAACCUGCGGAAGGAUCAUUAACGUGCUCGUUCGGCCGCUCGGGUCGGCCCUGCACCGGCGGAGACGCCGUGCUGCGGGCUCUCGGACGUGCCUUCCAAACCAAUCCCCUGUGAACCUUUGGGGAGGCCGAGCCUUCGCGGCGAAGUCGUCCCCUUUACAAACUCUGUAUCUCUAGAAUGACCGCGGACUUCGUCUGCCUAAACACAUAACAACUUUCAACAACGGAUCUCUUGGCUCUCGCAUCGAUGAAGAGCGCAGCGAAAUGCGAUAAGUAAUGUGAAUUGCAGAAUUCAGUGAAUCAUCGAAUCUUUGAACGCACCUUGCGCCCUUUGGUAUUCCGAUGGGCAUGCCUGUUCGAGUGUCUUGAAUUCAUCGCCGCCUCCGGUUUUGCGACCGGCUGGCGGCGGACUUGGGGGUCUGCCGCGGCGACGUGGCUCCCCUUGAAAGCAUCGGUGGGGUUUCCGAGCACCCACGGGCGUUGUAUUGUCCUCGUUCGACCAGGCCUCGCGUCCCCCGCCUCGACUGCCGUAUGAGCGGCGGUCAAAGCACUUUGAAAUCUGACCUCGAAUCAGGUAGGACUACCCGCUGAACUUAAGCAUAUCAAUAAGCGGAGGAA
rnacentral:rRNA from 1 species